rnacentral:lncRNA from 1 species
CCCCAAACAACAACAAAAAUCAAACACAAAAAGAUAAGGAAAAGAACAAUGAACGGCAGAUUAAAUAUUAGGUAUCAGAUGGCUCGGUUCAGCGGCAUACAAAUCAACUCCUGAGAGAAAACCUGUGAUAAUCGGCAUACAAACACAAUCUCAUGUACAUAUAUCAACAUGUCAAAGCAUCUUCGGUCAGUGUUUGCAAGAGAUAAGGCAACAUGCAAAUUUAUACAGAGAAUUAGACAUUGCAAAAAAACAGAGCAAAGCACAGAGCUGAAUCAAACCAGGUGUAAACAGAGAUUCCAGCCAAAGGACGACACUUGCCACUUCAGUGAUUAUUAGUGGCUGUUGUAUCAACAUAACAAGCAAAAGACUUGAGCAAUAUUUAACCUCAGAAAGACGCAAAAAAAUAUCGUCAUUCUGUAUCUGACGGUAAUUCCAACAUAGCUAAUCAUCAUAGGCAUCAAUUGCAUUCUAGCUGUAUAAAAAAAAGUCAAGGUACAACAUCAGAGCAAAAAUACGGACGCAUACAAAGAAAACGCUCGGAUCAGGUGCUGGAUUACGCAUCAAUACCUCAUCACAAUCCAAACAAACAAAUCUAGUAACUGGAAGUUCAAAGAAGCAAACAAUCAAUAACAGCAAAGAAAUAUUGUUCAAAGAUGCAUAGUUGCUCAGUGGUGGCAAUAUUUAAUUGGUUCGAUUCUGCCAGCAAUGUCGUCAAUGCUUUCAGAAGAGGGAGCUUGUUAUCCUCAUCGCAACUGUCCACCCCAAAACAAACAAAAAAAUAAAACAGAAUUAUAGAUAAAGAAAUGAGCAGUAUCCUUUCUCAAGAAAAAGAAGCAGAAAAGAGAGAACAGGAGAAAAGAACAAUGAAUAGCAGAUUAUAAAAUCAGGUAUUGGAUGGCUCAGUUCAGCGGGAUAUUCAGCAUACAAAUUAACUCCCAAGAGAAAACCUGUGAUUUGGUCUGUUGAGCUUGAAUAUUUGCAAAUCGUCACUGCCAUCACCAAAGGAAAAGAAGCACCAAGUAUGUAAAGAAAGCAGAAGACAUGACCGAAACAAAUUUGGGAUUGUAUGGGAGGGAUAAGGGUGCAACAAAAUAUUGGAUCAUCAUCUACCGAGUCAGAUUAAGAAGUAUGUCAAUCAGCACAGAUCCAACAAUGUAGACCCUAAGACUGGGGCGACAAAUAUAAAAUCAUCAUCCUCAAACUGGUUUGGAAAAUCUUUGCAACCAUCAAUGUAUCUAUUGUACACAACAAAACAUUAUUUUUGCAAUCAAACUGAAUAUACAAAAUCAGUGAACAGAUCGCCAACAACAACAGAAGUAAACCUCAAAAGCAAUGGUGUAGGAGCUCAGUAAGAACGUAGUGAUUGAUAAUCACACCUGGAAGAUCAUAUUUAUUGAAUUGUCUCAUCACUGCUCACAUCCAAGCAAAUAAAAAAUCCAGCAUAUUCAUUAGUCAAAUGGAAAACCAUUCUAUUAGUUUAGGUUAAUCAAAGGUCAAAUAAUAAAAAAGAAUUAACAUGUCAAGCUGAGAUAUAAUGUAAUAAGAGGACUCAGAAUAUGGGUGGUGAUAUAGCAGGAUGGUCGGCAAGGCAAAUAAAUGCCAGUUACGACGAACGAGACCAAAUAUCAAUCUUCACCGUCCUCUAAGGAAUCAUAGAAACUAAAUUGUCUGAUUUUCAAAUGAAAAGCGUUAGGUUAGAUGAACUAAAUUAUUUGAUUCUCGUGUAAAAGGUUUAGGUUGAAAGGUCAUCAGAUAGGAGCGAAAGACUAUUUUUGUUCAUGUAAUCAUGAUUUGAUCAUAUGAACUAUGCACUUGUAAUCAUCAUUCGACCUGGGCAAACACCAAUUCAAGAGACAUAAAAACAAAAAGACAAAGAAAACAGAAACGGGGUACCAGGAAUCAUGAUGCCUCAGAAGGAAGGCAGUAGGUUAUGUAAUCAUUGAUGAUUUCAUUGAGAAAGAUUCACACUAAUCAUCAUCAGCACCAUGAAACCAUAAAACACAUCAACUAUAAUUGCAGAUAUGAGCAAGAUCAUUGGCCUCAUAGAGAAGAUUAUAUCGUUCCACAUGAAGAAAAUUCAGACAUAUGCUUGUCUAUUAAUUUAGUUUAAUCCUUGGCCACCAACAAACAAAAACACUUACAGAAGCAAGCCAAUCAUCAGCUGAAGAAUCUCAACAGGGGAAAGCAGUUUGGAUAGGUAUAAAAGAAUGAUCGGAGGCAAGAAGAUGCCAGCUACGACAAAGACAAAAUAUCAACCUUAACCAUCCUCGAAACAAAAUGGAAUCAGAAAAAACAGAUUGACUGAGAUCAAAUGGUUUACUGGUGCUCAGAUUCAGUCAUUCAUGAGGAUCUCCCAUCAGUACGAGGAAUGUUUUACAACCGCUGCAUAAUUGGAACAAACAGCACCAAGAAUAAAUCCUUAACAAAUCACACAAUAUUUAAAACGUUGAAUUAUUUACACGAGUUUGGCGUCUUGGAGCAGGACAAGACAACUAAUGUCAAUCAAAUAUUAGCUCUGAAGGUGACAAAUCUAAAAGUUCAACAAAUUCAGAUAAACACUUAGUCUCAAAUCCAAAUGCAAAACAAACCUCAAGACAAAUAAACACGGAUCAAAAUGUAAAACAAACCUCAGGACAAAAAACACAAAAAAAAACAAGGAUCCAAUGAAUCCAGAAGAAGCAUGAUUGGUGCUCAGAUUCUAUCGGUGUAUAGGAGUCAUUCACGUGGAUCUCCCAUCAGUACGAGGAAUGUUUUAUAACCAUUGCACCACCAAAUGUUCCAACUCAAAACUAGAAGAACCACAAGGACUUGAAUUAUAAUAGAUAAACAACAACAACAACAACAAAGCCGUUAGUCCCAAACAAGUUGGGGUAGGCUAGAGGUGAAACCCAUAAGAUCUGGCGACCAAUGAAUUAUAAUAGAUAAAAAAGAAAAAAAUUGGAGCACAGAAAGUAAACUGCAAUGUCAGAUUAAGCAUACGCCAAGAUCCAUCUAGACAUUAGAAAUAAAUGAAAAAAAGGAAGAAGUCAAAAUAAGUGAACAUUAUUAAGGAUGCAUCAGAUCUCCAAGGUGAAAAGGGUGUGACAUCAUAGAAAUGCCUCAGACGCAAAUUACCCAUAAACUUGUGUCUCCUCAGUUGCAUCAACAAUGCUCAUUCCAAAAAAAGAAGCAACAACUUGAAAAAACAGAACAUUUCAAAUGAACAUCGAAAGAAGACAGCAAGAAACAAUCAAACUCAUUUUUGACACCAAUAUACAAGGCAGAGUUACAGCAUUUCAAAACCAAAAGAAAGCUAAAAACAAAAUGCACUAUUUUUUCUUAUCAAACCAGGGAUGAUGAUCAUUCUCGGUUCAGUAUAUAGGCCAUCAUGUUGGCCAAUCAAACCAAUAGGGAAAUUAAUCAUUCAUCAUCUCACCUCCACUGAUUAAAUUAGAAAAUAUUAAAUUAAAUUAGUCUGCAUGGAACAUAGCAAGGAUACAAGCAAGAGGAUGAUCAGACUCGGUCAUUAUUUUAGGCCACCAUAUCAGCUAAUCAAACCAAUAGGGAAAUUAAUCUCAUGCAUCAUAUCAUGUCUGGCCUACUAAACACAAAAUUAAAUAUAUUUUUGAAAGGAAAGUACCAGCAAGGAAAAUGCAACAUAGAGGGCAGAUGCAUCAGAUCUCCAAGGUGAAAAAGAGUGUGACAUCACAGAAAUGCCUCAGAUGCAAAUUACCCAUAAGCUCAUGUAUCCUCAUCUGCAUCAACUAUGCCCAUUCUACUUAGAAAACAAAGUUUUAUAUCUGAAUUGAUCUAACAUUGCUUGUUUGUGUUUUAAACUACAAUAAAAUCAUUUUUUGUAUCAUUCUGCAACAAACACCAGCAUAUCUUUGAAGCUGGAAAAGCUUCAAACAAAUUCAUUUCUCUUCAUAUCAAAUAAGACAGGAUGAUCAGAUUCGGCUCAGUAUUUUAGGCCAUCAUGUCAGCCAGUCAAACCAAUAGGGAAAUUAAUCUCAUUCAUCAUCUCAUCUCUCGCCAAUUAAAACCCGAAACAAAAGACUUUUGAAAGAAAAGAAAAAAGAACAAAAAAGAAGUGAGUGAGGGGAUGCAUCAGAUCUCCAAGGUGAAAAAGAGUAUGACAUCACUGAAAUGCCUCAGAUGCAAAUUACCCAUAAGCUCAUGUAUCCUCAUCUGCAUCGACUAUGCCCAUUCUACUUAGAAAACAAAGUUUUAUAUCUGAAUUGAUCUAACAUUGCUUGUUUGUGUUUUAAACUACAAUAAAAUCAUUUUUUGUAUCAUUCUGCAACAAACACCAGCAUAUCUUUGAAGCUGGAAAAGCUUCAAACAAAUUCAUUUCUCUUCGUAUCAAAUAAGACAGGAUGAUCAGAUUCGGUUCAGUAUUUUAGGCCAUCAUGUCAGCCAGUCAAACCAAUAGGGAAAUUAAUCUCAUUCAUCAUCUCAUCUCUCGCCAAUUAAAACCCGAAACAAAAGACUUUUGAAAGAAAAGUACAAAGAACAAAAAAGAAGUGAGUGAGGGGAUGCAUCAGAUCUCCAAGGUGAAAAAGAGUAUGACAUCACUGAAAUGCCUCAGACGCAAAUUACCCAUAAACUCGUGUAUCCUCAUCUGCAUCAACAACGCUCAUUUUCGACAGCAAAAAUAAACUGACCAGCAAAUUAUAAAGAGAGAGACUCAACAAACCGGCAAAGUUUUCUUUCUUAAUAAAACAAUCAUGGGGUAUGAUCAGAUAGAGCUAAUACAUGAUUCAUUGGACAUCAUAUCAUCCAUCAACAAUGUAAUUAUAUCCUCAUCUCACCCAAACGAGUCAAAGAUUAAAAAAAACGAAUAAGGGAAGAGGAGGAUAUUAUCAAGCAUGCAUCAGAUCUCCAAGGUGAAAAGGGUGUGACAUCACAGAGAUGCCUCAGACGCAAAUUACCCAUAAAACUUGUGCCUCAUCAUCUGCAUCAACAAUGAUCCUCCAAUAAACAGCAGCAAAAACGAGAAUGAAACAUGAAUUCCUAGGGAAACAACAGCGAGCAGAACAGAAGGAUAAACAAAAAAUAUAUUUUAACAUAAACACUACAAAAAAUAUAUCAACACAACCCACAUAAUAGUUACCAUAUACACAGGUUCGUAUCACAUCUCAGAAGCAUGCUGUAUUUCUGGAGAUACUAACCAAACACCGGCGCCUAAUCAGAAUUCAGAACAAAGGGCUAACAAACACGCUAGCAACUUAAACAUGCCACUGCUGUGCUGAGCUGUUCUUUCAAAUCCCUGGUAUAAAUCUACUGCGCAAUAUACACCGCCAUCGCCUACUGGACCGCAGAAGCGAGCCCGUAGAGAACGGCGACGGCGGGGCGGAUCGCUGUGGCAUCGUCUCAUACGCGGUGGCGAUGAGAUCCGCCGGUAAUCAGUUUCUGCGAUGCGCGAGGAUAAAAUCAAGAAUCCAUCCACUGGCAUACACUACCAUACGACUGGCACAGCCGAAAGACAAUAGAACUAGGCAGGGCGGGGCGGCUGCUAACGCCUGGAGGUCGUGGGGCGAGAAGGCGGCGGGGAACGGGGUCGUUACUGAGCUCGUCGUGGAGGCCACGGCGGUUGCGGCCGGAGGAGAAGUGGCGGCGCGGCGAGGGGAGGCGGAGGAGUCGGUUGCUGGAUUGCUGCGUAUUAUAGGGUUUGGAUUGGACUCUACAGACCCGGUGUGGGCUUCGGUGACCUUGGGCAUGGGAUUGUCCAGUGGCCUUUUGGGCCCAAUUUGUUUGAACAUUGGUUAUUGUUAGGAACUAUAAGCACUGGCCCAGAAAAAAAUGCCUGAAAAAAAGCAUUGGCCUUUUUUCUCAAAAAAAAAAAACUUGAUAACCUCAAAACCAAAAGAUAUGAUGCUUGAAUAUCUCACAUGGUAUGUUUGUAUAUCUCAGAUUUCUUGUUGCAACAUAUUUUUUAUGUGGGAAUAUUUGGGAAACUUGGAUGAGAUAUUUACAAUAUGUUUUUCCGAUGCUAGAAUCUUCGUUAGAGUUGUGUACAAAAAUUAUUUCUCGUUGUACCUCAUGAUUCCCGUAGUAUCCUCACCACCCUCACGGUGGACACUAGUAGAAAAAGAGUCAAAUGUUCAGCACAUUAGUACCGGUUUGCAAAUGAAACGGCACUAAUGGUCACCGUUAGUGCCGGUUCAAACGGCUAGGCGGUCGUCGAUCAUUAGUACCGGUUCGUGGAGAACUUUUAGUACCGGUUCAUGCCACGAACCAGUACUAAUGAGGUUGUGGCUGGCUGUUGUCAGGCUGGGGCCCCACCCAGCACAUUUAGUACUAAUUCGUGCCCCAAACCGGUGCUAAAGUUAUUUAGUUACAGCUGUUUUUUAGUCCCACCUCGCUCGACUAAAAAGGUUUUUACCACCUUAAAUAUGUUACUUCUCAAACUAUCACAACCACUUGGUCUUUAGUGAACUCUAUGUGUAGGAUUUGUGGCUGCAAUAGGAGUAUUCGCCGGUUCUUAAACCGGGGUAGAUUCCUAUUGACAAUUUAGAUUCUACACAAAAAGAUCAUUGAUGAUCAAUGUAUUUUUUAUAUAUAUUUUUACAUGUUUACACGGACGAAAACUUACACCGGCAUCAAACUUUCAACCCUUUCUGACAUCAUGGCAAAAACUGGAUGCACCUCGUGUAUAAACUGGAUAAUCUCUUUCGAAGUAUCAGGGUUUCGGAUGAAAACUCAUCUGUUACAUCGGCACUUCAUUUUUUUAAAACUUAUUACAACUCCAGACUUUUUUUGCGUUCAGUAUGCACCAUUCAAAGCCACGUCAUAAACUUUCAACCCUUCCUGACAUCAUUAACUAUUUUUCAUGCAUUUAAAGUUUUUUUGAGCUAAAUGACCCUGAAAUUAAAAAGCACUACAAAUGAACUCUGAAAAGGUUGGAACUUGGCAUGGUAUCAUCAUUUCACCCACAUAGCAUAUGCGAAAAAGUAGAGAGGGUUACUGCAAAAACUGGAUGCACCUCGUGUACAAGCUAGAUAAUCUCUUUCGAAGUAUCAGGGUUUCAUACGAAAACUCAUCUGUUACACCGGCACUUCAUAUUUUUAAACUUAUUACAACUCCACACUUUUUUUGCGUUCAGUAUGCACCAUUGAAAGCCACGUCAUAAAUUUCAACCCUUCCUGGCAUCAUUAGCUAUUUUUCAUGCAUUUAAAGGUUUGUUUUGAGUUAAAUGACCCUAAAAUUGAAAAGCACUACAAAUGAACUCUAAAAAGGUUGGAACUUGGCAUGGUAUCAUCAUUUCAGCCACAUAGCAUGUGCGAGAAAGUAGAGAGGGUUACGGCAAAAAUUAGAUGCACCUCGUGUACAAACUGGACAAUCUCUUUCGAAGUAUCAGGGUUUCGGACGAAAACUCAUCUAUUACACGGACACUUCAUUUUUUUAACUUAUUACAACUCCAAAAAAAAUUGCGUUCAGUAUGCACCAUUCAAAGCCACGUCAUAAACUUUCAACCCUUCCGGGCAUCAUUAGCUAUUUUUCAUGCAUUUAAAGAUUUGUUUUGAGCUANNNNNNNNNNNNNNNNNNNNNNNNNNNNNNNNNNNNNNNNNNNNNNNNNNNNNNNNNNNNNNNNNNNNNNNNNNNNNNNNNNNNNNNNNNNNNNNNNNNNNNNNNNNNNNNNNNNNNNNNNNNNNNNNNNNNNNNNNNNNNNNNNNNNNNNNNNNNNNNNNNNNNNNNNNNNNNNNNNNNNNNNNNNNNNNNNNNAUUUCACCCACAUAGCAUAUGCGAAAAAGUAGAGAGGGUUAUGGCAAAAACUGGAUGCACCUCGUGUAAAAACUGGACAAUCUCUUCCAAAGUAUUAGGGUUUCGGACGAAAACGCAUCUGUUACACCGACACUUCAUUUUUUUAAACUUAUUACAACUCCAGACUAUUUUUGCCUUCAGUAUGCACCAUUAAAAGCCACGUCAUAAACUUUCAACCCUUCCUGGCAUAAUUAGAUAUUUUUCAUGCAUUUAAAGAUUUGUUUUGAGCUAAAUGACCCUGAAAUUGAAAAGCACUACAAAUGAACUCUAAAAAGGUUGGAACUUGGCAUGGUAUCAUCAUUUCACCCACAUAGCAUGUGCGAAAAAGUAGAGAGGGUUACGGCAAAAACUGGAUGCACCUCGUGUACAAACUGGACAGUCUCUUUCGAAGUAUCAGGGUUUCGGACGAAAACUCAUCUAUUACACCGGCACUUCAUUUUUUUUAAGCUUAUUACAACUCCAGACUUUUUUUUGCGUUCAGUAUGCACCACUUAAAGCCACGUCAUAAACUUUCAAGCCUUCCUGACAUCAUUAGCUAUUUUUCAUGCAUUUAAAGGUUUGUUUUGAGUUAAAUGACCCUGAAAUUGAAAAGCACUACAAAUGAAUUCUGAAAUGGUUGGAACUUGGCAUGGUAUCAUCAUUUCACCCCCAUAGCAUGUGCGNNNNNNNNNNNNNNNNNNNNNNNNNNNNNNNNNNNNNNNNNNNNNNNNNNNNNNNNNNNNNNNNNNNNNNNNNNNNNNNNNNNNNNNNNNNNNNNNNNNNNNNNNNNNNNNNNNNNNNNNNNNNNNNNNNAGAGAGGGUUACGGCAAAAACUGGAUGCACCUCGUGUACAAACUGGACAAUCUCUUUAAAGUAUCAGGGUUUGGACGAAAACUCAUCUGUUACACUGGCACUUCAUUUUUUUAAAACUUAUUACAACUCCAGAUUUUUUUUGCGUUCAGUAUGCACCAUUCAAAGCCAUGUCAUAAACUUUCAAUCCUUCCUGGCAUCAUUAGCUAUUUUUCAUGCAUUUAAAAAUUUGUUUUGAGCUAAAUGACCUUGAAAUUGAAAAGCACUACAAAUGAACUCUGAAAAGGUUGGAACUUGGCAUGGUAUUAUCAUUUCACCCAUAUAGCAUGUGCGAAAAAGUAGAAUGGAUUACGGCAAAAACUGGAUGCACCUCGUGUACAAACUGGACAAUCUCUUUCGAAGUAUCAGGGUUUUCGGAUGAAUAAAUAAAUAAAUAACCCUGAAAUUGAAAAGCAAAUAAAUAAAUAAAACAACUCAGAAAUAAAUAAAAGAAAAUAAAUGAAGCAGAAGAGAAAAAAACAACAUCAACGAAAACUCUGCGCGCUGCCUAGUGGACCUGCGUGGCCUUGGGCGUGAAAGCAUAGACAUUUCAUAGUUAGUCUCCUGCGAGACUUAUUUGAUCCUCUGUCCAGUUUUUAUUUUCGAACACCGGACAGUGUAUUAGGGGCUAUUGUAUAUACUGUGACAUUCUUUUUAUAUUUAAUUGCGUUGCUUACCUCAAAGCCUGUUGAAGGCUUGUGCAGGCUUCGGUCAACCCGCUUUUCGCGGUGAAUCUUCCCAAUCACCAUGCCCAUAAGGGCGCGGUGCUCUUCAACAAUGGAAGCGCCUUGCAGCGCUUCCAAGAAAGUGUCCGGCGCCUCUGGAUGGACAGAGGUCGCCGGCGGAAUAGGCGCACCCCCUUCCCUUGAAAGAGGUUGCUUGCCUGAUUCCGGAGUCGUAUGGGUCUCCGGAAUUGUAUUCGGCUGGGGGCCGAAUUCAGUAUGGCCCCCGUCGUCAGUGUCCAUGGGGGUUUGCUCCCCCAUGUGUCCGACUGCCGAGGUUUUACCCUCCGGCGCCGCCCUGGCGGCCUCAUGAGUCUCUCCCCGGCCUGGGUUCCUUUGGGACAACACCUCGGUGUUAUCCAUGGCCUUGGGGGAGGAGGCCGCCGGGAGAGUCUCGUUGUCCAUCGCCGCCGGGUCUAGCGAGUCCUCCGAUGAGGAUCGCUCGAGGUUGGACCAAGCCGGACUGUGAAGGAAAUAUGCCCUAGAGGCAAUAAUAAAGUUAUUAUUUAUUUCCUUAUUUCAUGAUAAAUGUUUAUUAUUCAUGCUAGAAUUGUAUUAACCGGAAACAUGAUACAUGUGUGAAUACAUAAACAAAACUAAAUGUCACUAGUAUGCCUCUACUUGACUAGCUCAUUAAUCAAAGAUGGUUAUGUUUCCUAACCAUAGACAUGAGUUGUCAUUUGAUUAACGGGAUCACGUCAUUAGGAGAAUGAUGUGAUUGACACGACCCAUUCCGUUAGCUUAGCACUUGAUCAUUUAGUAUGUUGAUAUUGCUUUCUUCAUGACUUAUACAUGUUCCUACAACUAUGAGAUUACGCAACUCCCGUUUACCGGAGGAACACUUUGUGUGCUACCAAACGUCACAACGUAACUGGGUGAUUAUAAAGGAGCUCUACAGGUGUCUCCAAAGGUACAUGUUGAGUUGGCGUAUUUCGAGAUUAGGUUUUGUCACUCUGAUUGUCAGAGAGGUAUCUUUGGGCCCUCUCGGUAAUGCACAUCACCAUAAGCCUUGCAAGCAAUGUAGCUAAUGAGUUAGUUACGGAAUGAUGCAUUACAGAACGAGUAAAGAGACUUGCUGGUAACGAGAUUGAACUAGGUAUUGGAUACCGACGAUCAAAUCUCAGGCAAGUAACAUACCAAUGACAAAGGGAACAACGUAUGUUGUUAUGCGGUUUGACCGAUAAAGAUCUUCGUAGACUAUGUAGGAGCCAAUAUGAGCAUCCAGGUUCCGCUAUUGGUUAUUGACCGGAAACGUGUCUCGAUCAUGUCUACAUAGUUCUCGAACCCGUAGGGUCCGCAUGCUUAAGGUUUCGAUGACAGUUAUAUUAUGAUUUUAUGAGUUUUGAUGUACCGAAGAUUGUUCGGAGUCCCGGAUGUGAUCACGGACAUGACGAGGGGUCUCGAAAUAGGGAUGGCACCCGCAGGGUUUGGGUAUGGGUGGAGCUACCCCAUACCCUUACCCGUCCGCUCCUAGCUUACCCAUCACGCUUACCCAUACCCGUCAAUGGGUACAAUUUUUCCCAUGCCCGUUACCCGACAGGGUAGAUGGGCACCCGCGGGUAAAAUUACCCACAUUUGCAAAGCAUCGGUUUGACCAACUAGUAGUCAUAAUCGACAACAUAUAAUUAUAAUCUAUAAACAAACAACAUAUUAUGCAACAAGACACACUUUUAAACAACAACACAUCAUAAACAACACCAUACUUAAUAAACAACAUCACUUUCUCUUGAAUAACAAUACAUUGAAACAUCUUCACAUAAGUCAUACAUUUUGAGUUCACAAAUUUAUGACAAAGUUUAGAGAUAAUUUCGAGUUCAUACAGAUUUUAUAUGGGUACAUGGGUAUGUGGGUAUGGGUUAUACGAUCCCAUACCCGUACCCGCUCUACCUCGAUGGGUUUAACUUUUCCCUAUUUAUAUACCCAUGGGUAAUUUUUUGUCUCAUACCCUUACCCUAAUAGGGUUUUUACCCGCAGGGUACGUGGGUAAUGGGUACCCAUUGCCAUCCCUAUCUCGAAAUGGUCGAGACAUGAAGAUUGAUAUAUUGGAAGCCUAUAUUUGGAUAUCGGAAGUGUUCCGGGUGAAAUCGGGAUUUUACGGGAGUACCGGGGGGUUACCGGAACCCCCCGGGGGCUUAAUGGGCCAUAGUGGGCCUUAGUGGAGAAGAAGAGAGGCGGCCAGGGCUGGGACGCAUGCCCCUCCCCCCUAGUCCGAAUAGGACAAGGAGAGGGGGGCGGCACCCCCCCUUCCUUCCUCUCUCUCCCUCCUCUUUCCCCCCUUCUCCAAGUCCAACAAGGAAGGAGGGAGUCCUACUCCCGACUCCCCAUGGCGCGCCUCCUCCCUGGCCGGCCGCCCCCUCCCCCCUUGCUCCUUUAUAUACGAGGGCAGGUGGCACCUCUAGACACAACAAUUGAUCUCUUGAUCUCUUAGCCGUGUGCGGUGCCCCCCUCCACCAUAGUCCUCCUCGAUAAUAUUGUAGCGGUGCUUAGGCGAAGCCCUAUGACGGUAGAACAUCAAGAUCGUCACCACACCGUCGUGCUGAUGGAACUCUCCCUCGACACUCGGCUGGAUCGGAGUUCGAGGGAUGUCAUCGAGCUGAACGUGUGCUAGAACUCGGCGGUGUCGUAGUUUCGGUGCUUGAUCGGUUGGGCCGUGAAGACGUACGACUACAUCAACCACGUUGUUCUAACGCUUUCACUUUCGGUCUACGAGGGUACGUAGACAACACUCUCCCUUCUCGUUGCUAUGCAUCACCAUGAUCUUGCGUGUGCGUAGGAAAAUUUUGAAAUUACUACAUUCCCCAACAGUGGCAUCCGAGCCUGGUUUUAUGCGUAGAUGUUAUAUGCACGAGUAGAACACAAGUGAGUUGUGGGCGAUACAAGUCAUACUGCUUACCAACAUGUCAUACUUUGGUUCGGCGGUAUUGUUGGAUGAAGCGGCCCGGACCGACAUUACGCGUACGCUUACGCGAGGCUGGUUCUACCGACGUGCUUUGCACACAGGUGGCUGGCGGGUGUCAGUUUCUCCAAGUUUAGUUGAACCGAGUGUGGCUACACCCGGUCCUUGCGAAGGUGAAAACAACACUAACUUGACGAACUAUCGUUGUGGUUUUGAUGCGUAGGUAAGAAAGGUUCUUGCUCAGCCCAUAACAGCCACGUAAAAUUUGCAACAACAAAAUAGAGGACGUCUAACUUGUUUUUGCAGGGCAUGUUGUGAUGUGAUAUGGUCAAGAUGUGAUGCUAUAUUUUAUUGUAUGAGAUGAUCAUGUUUUGUAGCCGAGUUAUGGCAACUGGCAGGAGCCAUAUGGUUGUCGCUUUAUUGUAUGAAAUGCAAGCGCCCUGUAAUUGCUUUAUUUUAUCACUAAGCGGUAGCGAUAGUCGUAGAAGCAAUAGAUGGUGAAACGACAACGAUGCUACGAUGGAGAUCAAGGUGUCGCACCGGUGACGAUGGUGAUCACGACGGUGCUUCGGAGAUGGAGAUCACAAACACAAGAUGAUGAUGGCCAUAUCAUAUCACUUAUAUUGAUUGCAUGUGAUGUUUAUCCUUUAUGCAUCUUAUCUUGCUUUGAUUGACGGUAGCAUUUUAAGAUGAUCUCUCACUAAUUAUCAAGAAGUGAUCUCCCUGAGUAUGCACCAUUGCGAAAGUUCUUCGUGCUGAGACACCACGUGAUGAUCGGGUGUGAUAGGCUCUACGUUCAAAUACAACGGGUGCAAAACAGUUGCACACGCGGAAUACUCAGGUUAAACUUGACGAGCCUAGCAUAUACAAAUAUGGCCUCGGAACACGGAGACCGAAAGGUCGAACAUGAAUCAUAUAGUAGAUAUGAUCAACAUAGUGAUGUUCACCAUUGAAAACUACUCCAUCUCACGUGAUGAUCGGCCAUGCUUUAGUUGAUUUGGAUCACGUGAUCACUUAGAUGACUAGAGAGAUGUCUGUCUAAGUGGGAGUUCUUUAGUAAUAUGAUUAAUUGAACUUAAAAUUAUCAUGAAACUUAGUACCUGAUAGUAUUUUGCUUGUCUAUGUUUGUUGUAGAUAGAUGGCUCGUGCUGUUGUUCCAUUGAAUUUUAAUGCGUUCCUUGAGAAAGCUAAGUUGAAAGAUGAUGGUAGCAAUUACACGGACUAGGUCCGUAACUUGAGGAUUAUCCUCAUUGCUGCACAAAAGAAUUACGUCCUGGAAGCACCGCUGGGUGCCAGGCCUGCUGCAGAUGCAACUGACGACGUUAAGAACAUCUGGCAGAGCAAAGCUGAUGACUACUCGAUAGUUUAGUUUGCCAUGCUUUAUGGCUUAGAACCGGGACUUCAACGAUGUUUUGAACGUCAUGGAGCAUAUGAGAUGUUCCAGGAGUUGAAGUUAAUAUUUCAAGCAAAUGCCCGGAUUGAGAGAUAUGAAGUCUCCAAUAAGUUCUAUAGCUGCAAGAUGGAGGAGAAUAGUUCUGUGAACACAUACUCAAAAUGUCUGGGUAUAAUAAUCACUUGAUUCAACUGGGAGUUAAUCUUCCUGAUGAUAGUGUCAUUGACAGAAUUCUUCAAUCACUGCCACCAAGCUACAAGAGCUCCGUGAUGAACUAUAAUAUGCAAGGGAUGGAUAAUACUAUUCCCGAGCUCUUCGCAAUGCUAAAGGCUGCGGAGGUAGAAAUCAAAAAGGAGCAUCAAGUGUUGAUGGUCAAUAAGACCACCAGUUUCAAGAAGAAGGGCAAAGGGAAAAAGAAGGGGAACUUCAAGAAGAACAGCAAACAAGUUGCUGCUCAAGAGAAGAAACCCAAGUCUGGACCUAAGCCUGAGACUGAGUGCUUCUACUGCAAGCAGACUGGUCACUGGAAGCGGAACUGCCCCAAGUAUUUGGCGGAUAAGAAGGAUGGCAAGGUGAACAAAGGUAUAUGUGAUAUACAUGUUAUUGAUGUGUACCUUACUAAUGCUCACAGUAGCACCUGGGUAUUUUAUACUGGUUCUGUUGCUAAUAUUUGCAACUCGAAACAGGGACUACGGAUUAAGCGAAGAUUGGCUAAGGACGAGGUGACGAUGCACGUGAGAAAUGGUUCCAAAGUCGAUGUGAUCGCGGUCGGCACGCUACCUCUACAUCUACCUUCGGGAUUAGUUUUAGACCUGAAUAAUUAUUAUUUGGUGCCAGCAUUGAGCAUGAACAUUAUAUCUGGAUCUUGUUUGAUGCGAGACGAUUAUUCAUUUAAAUCAGAGAAUAAUGGUUGUUCUACUUAUAUGAGUAAUAUCUUUUAUGGUCAUGCACCCUUGAAGAGUGGUCUAUUUUUAUUAAAUCUCGAUAGUAGUGACACACAUAUUCAUAAUGUUGAAGCCAAAAGAUGCAGAGUUGAUAAUGAUAGUGCAACUUAUUUGUGGCACUAUCGUUUGGGUCAUAUUGGUGUAAAGCGCAUGAAGAACUCCAUACUGAUGGACUUCUAGAAUCACUUGAUUAUGAAUAAUUUGGUACUUGCAAACCGUGCCUCAUGGGCAAGAUGACUAAAACGCCGUUCUCCGGAACUAUGGAGCGAGCAACUGAUUUAUUGGAAAUCAUACAUAUCGAUGUGUGUGGUCCAAUGAAUGUUGAGGCUCGCGGCGGGUAUCGGUAUUUUCUCACCUUCACAGAUGAUUUGAGCAGAUAUGGGUAUAUCUACUUAAUGAAACACAAGUCUGAAACAUUUGAGAAGUUCAAAGAAUUUCAGAGUGAAGUGGAAAAUCAUCGUAACAAGAAAAUAAAGUUUCUACGAUCUGAUCGUGGAGAAGAAUAUUUGAGUUACGAGUUUGGUUUACAUUUGAAAUAAUGCGGAAUAGUUUCGCAACUCACGCCACCCGGAACACCACAGCAUAAUGGUGUGUCCGAACGUUGUAAUCGUACUUUACUAGAUAUGGUGCGAUCUAUGAUGUCUUUUACUGAUUUACCGUUAUCGUUUUGGGGUUAUGCUUUAGAGAUGGCCGCAUUCACGUUAAAUAGGGCACCAUCAAAAUCCGUUGAGACGACCGAUGACCCACAAGUGUAGGGGAUCUAUCUAGUCCUUUCGAUAAGUAAGAGUGUCAAACCCAACGAGGAGCAGAAGGAAAUGAUAAGCGAUUUUUAGUAAGGUUUUCUCUGCAAGCACUGAAAUUAUAGGUGAUAGAUAGUUUUGUGAUAAGAUAAAUAGUACCAAGUAAUAAGUAAACAAAGUAAAUAAAGUGCAGCAAGGUGGCCCAAUCCUUUAUGUAGCAAAGGAUAAGACUGGAUAAUUUCUAAUAAUGAGAAAGGAGCUCCCGAGGAGACAUGGGAAUUAUCGUCAAGCUAGUUUUCAUCACGUUCAUAUGAUUCGCGUUCGGUACUUUGAUAAUUUGAUAUGUGGGUGGACCGGUGCUUGGGUACUGCCCUUACUUGGACAAGCAUCCCACUUAUGAUUAACCCCUAUUGCAAGCAUCCGCAACUACAACAAAAGUAUUAAGGUAAACCUAACCAUAGCAUGAAACAUAUGGAUCCAAAUCAACCCCUAACGAAGCAACGCAUAAACUAGGGUUUAAACUUCUGUCACUUUAGCAACCCAUCAUCUACUUAUUACUUCCCUAUGCCUUCCUCUAGGCCCAAAUAAUGGUGAAGUGUCAUGUAGUCGACGUUCACAUGACACCACUAGAGGAGAAGACAACAUACGUCUCAUCAAAAUAUCAAACGAAUACCAAAUUCACAUGACUACUAAUAGAAAGACUUCACCCAUGUCCUCAUGAACAAACGUAACUACUCAAAAAGCAUAUUCAUGUUCAUAAUCAGAGGUGUAAUAAUAUGCAUUAAGGAUCUGAACAUAUGAUCUUCCACCAAGUAAACCAAUAAGUAUCAACUACAAGGAGUAAUCAACACUACUAGCAACCCACAGGUACCAAUUUGUGGUUUUGAUACAAGAUUGGAUACAAGAGAUGAACUAGGGUUUGGAUAGGAGAUGGUGCUGGUGAAGAUGUUGAUGGAGAUUGACCCCCUCCCGACGAGAGGAUCGUUGGUGAUGACGUUGGUGAUGAUUUCCCCCUUCCGGAGGGAAGUGUCCCCGGCAAAACAGCUCCGCCAGAGCCCUAGAUUGGUUCCGCCAAGGUUCCACCUCGUGGCAACGGAGUUUCAUCCCGUAAGCUUGCCCAUGAUUUUUUCCAGGGUAAAAGCCUUCAUAUAGCGGAAGAUGGACACCGGAGGGCCACCGGGGGGCCCAGGAGACAGGGGGCGCGCCCAGUAGGGGGGCGUCCCCCACCCUCCUGGCCAGGGUGUGGGCCCCUGAUGUAUUUCUUCCGCUCAAUAAUUCUUAAUAAAUCCAAAAAUAUGUUUCGUGGAGUUUCAGGACUUUUGGAGCAGUGCAGAAUAGGUUUCCAAUGUUUGCUCCUUUUCCAGCCAGAAUUCCAGCUGCCGGCAUUCCCUCUCUUCAUGAUAAACCUUGUAAAAUAAAAGAGAAUAGCCAUAAGUAUUGAGAUAUAAUGUGCAAUAACAGCCCAUAAUGCAAUAAAUAUUGAUAUAAAAGCAUGAUGCAAAAAUGGAUGUAUCAACGACGCCUUAUGAACUGUGGUUUGGCAAGAAACCAAAGUUGUCGUUUCUUAAAGUUUGGGGUUGCGAUGCUUAUGUGAAGAAACUUCAACCAGAUAAGCUCGAACCCAAAUCAGAGAAAUGUGUCUUCAUAGGAUACCCAAAAGAGACUAUCGGGUACACCUUCUAUCACAGAUCCGAAGGCAAGGCUUUUGUUGCUAAAUUCGGAUCCUUUCUAGAGAAGGAGUUUCUCUCGAAAGAAGUGAGUGGGAGGAAAGUAGAACUUGAUGAGGUAACUGUACCCGCUCCCUUAUUGGAAAGUAGUUCAUCACAGAAACUGGUUCCUGUGACAACUACACCAAUCUGUGUGGAAGCUAAUGAUAUUGAUCAUGAAACUUCAGAUCAAGUUACUACUGAACCUCGUAGGUCAACCAGAAUAAGAUCCACACCAGAGUGGUACGGUAAUCCUAUUCUAGAAGUCAUGUUACUUGACCAUGACGAACCUACGAACUAUGAGGAAGCGAUGAUGAGCCCAGAUUCCGCAAAAUGGCUUGAGGCCAUGAAAUCUGAGAUGGGAUCCAUGUAUGAGAACAAAGUAUGGACUUUGGUUGACUUUCCCGAUGAUCGGCAAGCCAUUGAGAAUAAAUGGAUCUUCAAGAAGAAGACUGACGCUGAUGGUAAUGUAAUUGUCUACAAAGCUCGACUUGUUGCAAAAGGUUUUCGACAAGUUCAAGGGGUUGACUACGAUGAGACUUUCUCACCCGUAGCAAUGCUUAAGUCUGUCCGAAUCAUGUUAGCAAUUGCCGCAUUUUAUGAUUAUGAAAUAUGGCAAAUGGAUGUCAAAACUGCGUUCCUGAAUGGAUUUCUGGAAGAAGAGUUGUAUAUGAUGCAACCAGAAGGUUUUGUUGAUCCAAAAGGUGCUAACAAAGUGUGCAAGCUCCAAGGAUCCAUUUAUGGACUGGUGCAAGCCUCUCGGAGUUUGAAUAAACGCUUUGAUAGUGUGAUCAAAGCAUAUGGUUUUAUACAUACUUUUGGAGAAGCCUGUAUUUACAAGAAAGUGAGUGGGAGCUCUGUAGCAUUUCUGAUAUUAUAUGUAGACGACAUAUUGUUGAUUGGAAAUGAUAUAGAAUUUCUGGAUAGCAUAAAGGGAUACUUGAAUAAAAGUUUUUCGAUGAAAGACCUCGGUGAAGCUGCUUACAUAUUGGGCAUCAAGAUCUAUAAAGAUAGAUCAAGACGCUUAAUUGGACUUUCACAAAGCACAUACCUUGAUAAAGUUUUGAAAAAGUUCAAAAUGGAUCAGGCAAAGAAAGAGUUCUUGCCUGUAUUACAAGGUGUGAAGUUGAGUCAGAGUCAAUGCCCGACCACAACAGAAGAUAGAGAGAAAAUGAAAGAUGUUCCCUAUGCUUCAGCCAUAGGCUCUAUAAUGUAUGUGAUGUUGUGUACCAGACCUGACGUAUGCUUAGCAAUAAGUUUGGCAGGGAGGUACCAAAGUAAUCCAAGAGUGGAUCAUUGGACAACAGUCAAGAAUAUCCUGAAAUACUUGAAAAGGACUAAGGAUAUGUUUCUCGUUUAUGGAGGUGACAAAGAGCUAGUCGUAAAUGGUUACGUCGAUGCAAGCUUUGACACUGAUCCAGACGAUUCUAAAUCACAAACCGGAUAUGUGUUUAUAUUAAACGGUGGAGUUGUCAGUUGGUGCAGUUCUAAACAAAGCGUCGUGGCGGGAUCUACAUGCGAAGCAGAGUAGAUAGCUGCUUUGGAAGCAGCAAAUGAAGCAGUCUCGAUGAAGGAGUUCAUUUCUGAUCUAGGUGUCAUACCUAGUGCAUCGGGACCAAUGAAGAUCUUCUAUGACAAUACUGGUGCAAUUGCUUUGGCAAAGGAAUCCAGAUUUCACAAGAGGACCAAACACAUCAAGAGACACUUCAAUUCCAUCCGGGACCAAGUCCAGGUGGGAGACAUAGAGAUUUGCAAGAUACAUACGGAUCUGAAUGUUGCAGACCCAUUGACUAAGCCUCUUCCAUGAGCAGAACAUGAUCGGGACCAAGGCUCCAUGGGUGUUAGAAUCAUUACUGUGUAAUCUAGAUUAUUGACUCUAGUGCAAGUGGGAGACUGAAGGAAAUAUGCCCUAGAGGCAAUAAUAAAGUUAUUAUUUAUUUCCUUAUUUCAUGAUAAAUGUUUAUUAUUCAUGCUAGAAUUGUAUUAACCGGAAACAUGAUACAUGUAUGAAUACAUAGACAAAACUAAAUGCCACUAGUAUGCCUCUACUUGACUAGUUCAUUAAUCAAAGAUGGUUAUGUUUCCUAACCAUAGACAUGAGUUGUCAUUUGAUUAACGGGAUCACAUCAUUAGGAGAAUGAUGUGAUUGACAUGACCCAUUCCGUUAGCUUAGCACUUGAUCGUUUAGUAUGUUGAUAUUGCUUUCUUCAUGACUUAUACAUGUUCCUACAACUAUGAGAUUACGCAACUCCCGUUUACCGGAGGAACACUUUGUGUGCUACCAAAUGUCACAACGUAACUGGGUGAUUAUAAAGGAGCUCUACAGGUGUCUCCAAAGGUACAUGUUGAGUUGGCGUAUUUCGAGAUUAGGUUUUGUCACUCUGAUUGUCGGAGAGGUAUCUCUGGGCCCUCUCGGCAAUGCACAUCACUAUAAACCUUGCAAGCAAUGUAGCUAAUGAGUGGAAUGAUGCAUUACAGAACAAGUAAAGAGACUUGCCGGUAACGAGAUUGAACUAGGUAUUGGAUACCGACGAUCAAAUCUCGGGCAAGUAACAUACCAAUGACAAAGGGAACAACGUAUGUUGUUAUGCGGUUUGACCGAUAAAGAUCUUCGUAGAAUAUGUAGGAGCCAAUAUGAGCAUCCAGGUUCCGCUAUUGGUUAUUGACCGGAAACGUGUCUCGGUCAUGUCUACAUAGUUCUCGAACCCGUAGGGUCCGCACGCUUAAGGUUUCGAUGACAGUUAUAUUAUGAGUUUAUGAGUUUUGAUGUACCGAAGAUUAUUCGGAGUCCGGGAUGUGAUCACGGAUAUGACGAGGAGUCUCAAAAUGGUCGAGACAUGAAGAUUGAUAUAUUGGAUGCCUAUAUUUGGAUAUCGGAAGUGAUCCGGAUGAAAUCAGGAUUUUACCGGAGUACCGGGGGGUUACCGGAACCCCACGGGGGCUUAAUGGGCCAUAGUGGGCCUUAGUGGAGAAGAAGAGAGGCGGCCAGGGCUGGGACGCAUGCCCCUCCCCCCUAGUCCGAAUAGGACAAGGAGAGGGGGGCGGCACCCCCCUUUUCCUUCCUCUCUCUCCCUCCUCUUUCCCCCCUUCUCCAAGUCCAACAAGGAAGGAGGGAGUCCUACUCCCGACUCCCCAUGGCGCGCCUCCUCCCUGGCCGGCCGCCCCCUCCCCCCUUGCUCCUUUAUAUACGGGGGCAGGGGGCACCUCUAGACACAACAAUUGAUCUCUUGAUCUCUUAGCCGUGUGCGGUGCCCCCCUCCACCAUAGUCCUCCUCGAUAACAUUGUAGCAGUGCUUAGGCGAAGCCCUGCGACGGUAGAAAAUCAAGAUCAUCACCACGCCGUCGUGCUGACAGAACUCUGCCUCGACACUCGGUUGGAUUGGAGUUCGAGGGACGUCAUCGAGCUGAACGUGUGCUAGAACUCGGAGGUGCCGUAGUUUUGGUGCUUGAUCGAUCGGGCCGUGAAGACGUACGACUACAUCAACUGCGUUGUUCUAACGCUUCCGCUUUUGGUCUACGAUGGUACGUAGACAACACUCUCCCCUCUUGUUGCUAUGCAUCACCAUGAUCUUGCGUGUGCGUAGGAAAAUUUUGAAAUUACUACGUUCCCCAACAGACUGCAGACGCAUGAUUCUAAACUGUUAAUACUAUGCAGUAGUGAGGCCGGCUAUAUGAACGUGUCCGGGUUUUUUAGUACUCACGAUUUAGCCAGGGGCUUGACCCUGGGAGUCUACUCCGAGCUCCUGUUGGUGGCUACGAUGGAGUCGUCCGGAAGGGAAGUUUUCCCCUUCUUGGACGCUUCGGCCUCCAAACGUGUGGAGGUCGUCCUCUUCUUUCUCCCUCUCGCAGGGGGGAUGGCUUUCUUCUUCUUCCUCCUCCUCUUCCUCGUCUUCUUCGAUGGCGGAGGAGUGAGCCUCGGUGUCUUCGGACGUCGCGUCCGAAGUGCCAUUACGACGGAGACCGCCUCUGGUCUCCUUGGCCUCCUUCUUGGCCUUCUUCUUCGGCGCCUUAUAAGGCGCCGGGACCAGCAUCUUCGUUAGAAGUGGACAUGCUGGAUCCUCAGGUAGCGGAGGUGGACAGUAAAUCCGCUCCGCCUUCUUUGUCCAGCCCUAAGAGAAUCAUGAGGGAACUUUAGGCGUUUCCCUCGAAUAUGCGAGUAAAGGAUACACCUUGAAAACAUGUAAAGACUUACCGAACUAGCUGGUCGGUCCAAUUUGUGGCCACGAUCCUUGGUCGAGUCCGGCCAUGACUUACUGGGCUUGAAUAGCACCUUCCAGAUGUCUUUGUGCGUUGUGCCGAAGAACUCCAGUAGGGUCUGGUGCUUGGCCGGAUCGAACUCCCAUAGAUGGCAAGUUCGGCUUUGGCAUGGAAGGAUCCGGCGAACUAGCAUCACCUGGACCACAUUGACAAGCUUGAUGUUCUUGUCCACCAUGCUCUUGAUACGCGCCUGGAGCGCAGUCAGUUCAUCUGACAAAGACCAGUCCAGGCCCUUCUCGGGCUAGGAGGUGAGCCACAUCGGAGCUCCAGAUCGAAUUUCGGGAGCCGCGACCCAGGUGGUGUCGCGUGGCUAAGUGACGUAGAACCACUGUUGUUGCCAUCCUUUGACGGACUCGUUGAAUGUACCUGAUGGCCAUGUGACAUUGGGCAUCUUGCUCACCAUGGCGCCUCUACACUCUACGUGUUCGCCACCCACCACCUUCAGCUUCACAUUGAAGGUUUUUAACCACAGUCCGAAGUGUGGAGGGAUGCGGAGGAAGGCCUCGUACACGACGAUGAAUGUCGAGAUGUUGAGGAAAGAAUUUGGGGACAGAUCAUGGAAAUCUAUCCCAUAGUAGUACAUGAGUACGUGAACAAAUGGGUGGAGAGGAAAUCCCAGCCCGCGGACAAAGUGAGGGCGGAAUACAACCCUCUCAUGGGGCUCCGGAGUAGGGACGAUCUGUCCCUCGGCCGGAAGACAGUGUGCGAUCUCCUUGGCCAGAUACUCGGCCUCCCGGAGUUUCUUGAUAUCCUUCUCCUUAACGGAGGAGGCCAUCCACUUGCCCUGCGCUUCGGAUCCGGGCAUGGCUGGAGUGCUUUUUGGAGGCGGAAAAGAUGAGAGCUUGGGCGCUGGAGCUCGAGGAUGGGGAAGCAGAGAGAAGGCAUGGGUGAAAGAGUUGGAUCCUUAUCUCUUUAUAAAGGCAGUGAAUAUCAAGCGCCUCCCCACUUUCCCUAAAAACUCGCUUAUCCUCGAGGGCCAUGCUAACGGUGCGGUGGGACCCAUAUUGAUGAGAAUCUCGCAAUAAGGGGACACGAUCUCUGCUUUGACAAGACGUGCCAAUGAAACCGCAUCUCGAAAUAUGGAGCGGUGGGCUAAAAACGGUUCGAAUAAUAACCAGGCGUCAACGUGAUGUCAUGUUGCAAAAAGUUGUCAGCAGAUUGGACUCAUGAAGUAUUAUACUCUCUACGGUUAUGUGUGGUAUUUGUUUUGCAUGGCCGAAAACUAUUUUUAUUCGGAAACAAUUUUGGAGUAUGCGAAGGAGGAACCCGCCUUGCAAUGCCGAAGACAAUCUGCGUGCUGGACACCUCGUCAUCGAAGCCUAGUUCAGGGGAUACUGAGGGAGUCCUGGAUAAGGGGUCCUCGAACAGCCGGACUAUGUUACCUGGGCCGUACUAUUGGGCUAUGAAGAUACAAGACCGAAGACUCUCUCCCGUGUCCGGAUGGGACUCUCCUUGGCGUGGAAGGCAAGCUUGGCGACCGUAUAUGAAGAUUCCUUUCUCUGUAACCGACUUUGUGCAACCCUGUCCCCUCCGGUGUCUAUAUAAACUGGAGGUCUUAGUCCGUAGAGGCAGAUUCAUAAUCAUACAGGCUAGACUUCUAGGGUUUAGCCAUUAUGAUCUCGUGGUAGAUCAACUCUUGUAAUACUCAUAUCCAUCAAGAUCAAUAUAGCAGGAAGUAGGGUAUUACCUCGAUAGAGAGGGCCCAAACCUGGGUAAACAUCGUGUCCCCCGUCUCUUGUUACCAUCGACCUUAGACGCACAGUCCGGGACCCCCUACCCGAGAUCCGCUAGUUUUGACACCGACAGUAUGCUUGAGUAUUAAAGUCUUCAUGUCAAAACUAGACUAUUGCUUUGAAUCGUAUAAAAGUCCAUAUGUCCAUGCUAUAAAGAAAAGAAAUGUGAUGAACAUGCUAGGUAGCAUUCCACAUCAAAAAAUCUGUUUUUAUCAUUUACCUACUCCAGGACGAGCAUGAAUUAAGCUUGGGGAUGCUGAUACGACUCCAACGUAUCUAUAAUUUUUGAUUGUUCCAUGCUGUUAUAUUAUCGUUCUUAGAUGUUUUACAAUCAUUUUAUAGUCAUUUUAUAUCAUUUUUGGGUACUAACCUAUUGACAAUAGUGCCUAGUGCCAGUUGUUGUUUUCUGCAUGUUUUUUACAUCGCAGGAAAUCAAUAUCAAACGGAGUCCAAAUGCAACGAAACUCCUUAAGGAUUUUUUUGGGCCAGAAGACAUCCAGUGGGCCUAGAAAGCACCUGGGGGUGGAUCGAGGGGAGUAGCACCCACCAGGGCGCGCCAGGAGGCCCAGGCGCGCCCUGGUGGGUUGUGCCCACCUCGGGUGCCCCCUGAACCGCCUCUUUGCUCUAUAAAUACCCCAAUAUUCCAGAAACCCUAUGGGAGUCGACGAAAAUCAAUUCCAGCCGCCGCAGAGUCCAGAGCCACCAGAUCCAAUCUAAGCACCGUCAUGGAGGGGUUCACCACUUCCAUUGGUGCCUCUCCGAUGAUGCAUGAGUAGUUCUUUGUAGACCUACGGGUCCGUAGUUAGUAGCUAUCCUCUCUCUCUCUCUCUCUUGAUUAUCAAUACAAUGGUCUUUUGGAAAUCCAUAUGAUGUAAGUCUUUUUGCGGUGUGUUUGUUGGGAUCCAAUGAACUUUGAGUUUAUGAUCAGAUCUAUGUUUUUAUCCAUGAAAGUUAUUUGAGUCUUCUUUUUUAUCUCUUAUAUGCAUGAUUGCUUAUAGCCUCAUAUUUCUUCUCCGAUAUUUGGGUUUUAUUUGGACAAUUUGACCUAUUUAUCUUGCAAUCGGAAGAGGUGCUUUGUAGUGGGUUCGAUCUUACGGUGCUUGAUCCCAGUGACAGAAGGGGAACCGGCACGUAUGUAUCAUUGCUACUAAGGAUAACAAGAUGAGAUCUAUAUCUCCGCAAUAGAUAAACGGAUCUCGUCUACAUUGUGUCAUCAUUCUUAUUGCGUUACUCCAUUUUUCCAUGAACUUAAUACACUAGAUGCAUGCUGGAUAGCGGUCGAUGUGUGGAGUAAUAGUAGUAGAUGCAGGCAGGAGUCGGUCUACUAAUCUUGGACGUGAUGCCUAUAUAAUGAUCAUUGCCUGGAUAUCGUCAUGAUUAUUUGAAGUUAUAUCAAUUGCCCAACAGUAAUUGUUUUCCCACCGUUUUCUAUUUUUCUCGAGAGAAACCACUAGUGAAACCUACGGCCCCUGAGUCUCUUUUCAUCAUAUUUGCCUUUGCGAUCUAUUUCCCUUUGCAUUUAUUUUCAGAUCUAUUAAACCAAAAAUACAAAAGACCUUGGUGCAAUUUAUUUGUUCCACGAUCAAUUUAUCCCAUCUACCACUUUUACCUCAUGUUAUUUGCCUAUCUUGAGGCCCCGUACCCGAAAGGGAUUGACAACCCCUUUAACACAUUGGGUUGCGAGUAUUUGUUAUUUGUGUGCAGGUGCUGUUUACGUGGUGUGAGGAGGUUCUCCUACUGAUUCGAUAACCUUGGUCUCAUCACUGAGGAAAAUACCUACCGUCGUAUACUGCAUCAUCCCUUCCUCUUUGGGGAAAUACCGAUGUAGUUCUAGCAGACAUCACACAUGUAUCGAGUUUUCGGUUAAUACAAUUCUAGAAUGAAUAAUAAACAUUUAUCAUGAAAUAAGGAAAUAUAAAAUAACAACUUUAUUAUUGCCUCUAGGGCAUAUUUCCUUCACGCCAGCCAAGGGAGGAGGAGUUGGACUCCUCCUCCACUCCAAUUUGCCUCCCCCUAUGGAAAGGGGGCGCCUCCUCCACUUGGGCCCUUAUGGCCCAAGUUGCCUUCCACCUCUUGGCCUUAGCUAGUUGAUAUUUACUUAUUUAUAAAAGCCUUUUAACAAUUACUAGACUACAAUUUAACAUCACCUGAAACAUUUUCCACAUAUAUAUUAAUUAUCAGGAAUACCCGGUAUUGCAUGAUAAACUCUCAAACCCUACCAGAUAUCCCAAAAAGCUUUAGGUUCCUCUCGAAACUAUUUUGAAUAUUAAUGAAACAAAUCCACAAAUAAAUCCUUGAUACUCUCAUCCUACUAACACUCAGCAGAUCAUGAUUACCUUAAACUUGUGACCCCGUAGGUUCGGUAAAUCAUGGACAUGAAUGAAAACCCCUUCGUUCAAUGACCGAUAGUCAAACCGUGGACAUCCAUAUCGAUCCAUGUGAUUACAGAAUGACAUUCGAGUGAACCUUUGGUUAUCAUGUGAUGUUCCCUUUAUUUCGCAGUACUUUACAAAAUCCGGGGUGCAUCGGUAUCCUCGUGAGUCAUACACAUGCUCACUAUACCAUUGAUCUCGUUACCAGAUUUGUUCUUCUUUCUCGUUGAAGUGUUCUGGCAUCCCUGUGACGUAGUCACCUGUGUCUGGCCAAACGAUGAUGGAUGUUGUCACACCAGAGGGCCCUACGAAUAUCUCCCCAUCAUCGGAGAAGCAAAUCCCACUCUUGAGCUAUCCAGUCCCUUGUUAAACUUUUCGAUGAACCUAUAAGUUCUCGUGAUGAUCACCUAAUUACAGAUGACAUUUGAGCAACCUCAAAGUCCAUCAUAUGGUAGGAAGUGACUACGAUACUCUCAUGGUCUGUGGAACUAAAACACAUGCUAACACUCCGUGUUAUCACAAUUGAUUUCAGACAAUAUUAAUUAUCUCAAAGUAUAACAAAUAAGGUUGGGUCAAUUCAAUAUGACCGUUCUUCCAAUGUCAUACUCUCAAUGUUGUUUUAGGACUAUCGUUACACUUAACGAUAUCCUAAGAUCCGGAAAACAUGACCACACAACAACACUUGAGCCAGUUUUAGAGGCAAGACCGGGAACCUAUACUUUACCGUUUAUCAUUCCGCACAUGCAUAUGCGUUUUCACUAAAUCACAUAUUCCAGUAUCACAUCAGUUAUACCAUGAAAUAUAAACUCUUAAUUAUAAAAAUGGAAAUAUAAUAAUACAAUAUUAUUGCCUCUAGGGCAUAUUUCCAACAGUUUUCCACUUGCAUUAGAGUCAAUAUUAUUGCUUCUAAUUUCCAACAGUCUCCUAGUUGGGCUCGGCCAUCUUUCCCUUUUCUUUUCUGUAAAAAUGAACACCCCCUCCCCCGAUGGAACUCGAACAAGCGCCUACCGGUCCUUCGCACUCCAUGCUAACCACCCCACCACCUUCACCUCAUGUUCUCAAAUACAUCUUCUCACCUCUUUUCUUCUUUUUUAUUUUUUAUUUUUUCUCUUUUCUUUUUUGUUUGAUUUUUUCCUUUUUCUUUUUUUCUUUUGCUAAGUUGAAUGAUUUUUUUUGAAAUUGAUGGACUUUUUCAAAUUUGAUGAUUUUUUUUCAAAUUUGAUGAACUUUUUCAAAAAUUUGAUGAACUAUUUUCAAAUUUGUGAAAUAUUUUUCAAAAUUAUUGUAACUUUUUUCAAAUUUGAUGAGCUUAUUUUUAAAAUCGAUGAACUUUUUCAAAUUCAAUGAACUUCUAAAAAUUUUGGAUGAACUUUUUCAAAAUAUGUGUACAUUUUUUAAAUCUCAAUUUUCAUUUCGUUUGUUUGCGAAUUUUUUUUGUUUUUUUUCUUCUCUUUUUUCAAAGUCAAGGGUACUGGUCAACCGCGACUGGUCAAACAGCGCUCGAGUGAGCGAGCGACCAGGCGGGGCGAGUCAAGUGGCCGCCACAUGGGCCGGCUCACGAGCUCGCGGUUGUGAGCGCCAGCUUACCACCAAUUAGGAGCUCCCUUUUCUCAAAAAAAAAAAAACAAUUAGGAGCUCCCUGUUGCUACAAAAAAAAGGAGCUCCCCAGAAAACAGACUAUUCCUCAGGAAGGGGCGAAGAAUAAGAGACGUCUUAUCCACAUGAUAAGCGUGGAAUAGUUGAGGAAACACCUAUGUCACACUCAGAUGGCCGGUUUGAUGUGGCCCAUUAAGCAUGUUACUAUUUUUUUUGAAAAUAUAUUAUGCUUAAUACAUUUAAACAAAUGUAAGAAACAUUUUACAACAACAGAAAAAAUAUAUUCACAUAUAAUAAAAAUGGUCAUAUGUACUAUAGAGAAAUUUGUCCAUACGAAAUAAAAUGUUAUCACAUAUUUAAAAUACGUUCAUGUUAAUAAAAAUAUUCAUGUAUUUGUAAGAACGGUGAUCCACCUCAAGUAAUACAAUCUCCCUUCCACCCACAAUAAAAAAGGUUCAUAGUCUUUGAAAAGAUUGUUCAUGGACAUAAAAAAUUAUGUUCGUAUACUAUUGGGAAAAUAUCUCUAAAAGUAUAGAAGGGAAAAAUAUAUAAUCAAGAAAAAACAGAAGGGGAAAUGAAACAAAAAGGGAAAAAAGAAAAGAAAAAUAGACUGGUUGAAAAGACUGUCAAACUGGCACGGCAGAACCUGGUAAAUGGGCACGCACCUUCAAUAAAAUGAAAUUCAAACUUUUUUUAUUAUCAACUGUACUAAGAGCAACCUUGCUUUUCAACUGCUAAUAUGCGAGAAAUUAGUGGAGAUGCGGCAAUGCAGCCAUUAUUAGUAUCAGAAACACAAGCUAGGCCAUUCUUCCGGUUUUUGCAUGAUCAUAGUAGGUACUUACAUUCGAUUUGUGCAUGAUUGAAAAGUAUAAUUUCCUAUAUGAAGUUAAACCGAACCUAAACACAUCCCAGACCUAAUGUACAAAUUUGGAAGAUUGUCCAGGUACAACACAGAUCUGUAGAACAGUGACAACAGUAAUCCCGACCUAUAAAUGUUUGACCCCGUCCAGAAAAUGGUUCAAUUUCUACUGGGCUUGUUCAGAUCGUUCUAUGUUACUACGCUGCUCAAAAGUCAAAAUUGUCGGAAUGGCUGAGGACCAGCAUGAUUCUGAAGGACGAAUCAUUUUCCAAUGCAGAAUUUGCUGAAUAUGCUGCUCAGGACUUCUUCAGAUAUGUCCUCUCCGCUGAUUGUUGCCAGAGCCAAUGCAGCUUCCCUCAAGUCUAUAGUCCAAAAAUCCAAGGGUAGCUGCUCAUUGACCGACGACUCUAGUCUUGUGAAAGCUUCUUGGGUCCUCAUGAGCUGUUCCAAUUGUCUCUGGACAACACAAUGGAAUUGGAUAGAAGUCAACAAUCUUUCAUGUAACAACUGAAGCAACAAUUCUAAAGAGAACAACUAUUGAAUACGGAAAUAUUUACGGAUGGCAUACGGAAAUAUUUACCUGGUUUACAGUCCACCGUCGUCCCCCGGACGGUAUGGACUCAAGACCUCUAACCUCUAUUACAGCCCUCUCCAACUCAGAAAUGCCUUUGCCAGUGACUGCACAUGUGUGCACAUGUUUUCUGAAAAUUCCACUGAAUUUCUCAAACUCUUCUCCUGAAACAAAUGGUGUGCAAUCUACCUUGUUGAUAACCAGAACCAUUGGCACUUCAGAACCUGAGCGUUUCUGAUCAUCAAAAAGGACAAAGAAAGAAUAGUCACUCUCUAAUUUAUUUACAGAUGAUGAAGGGACAGAGAGGAUUUCAAACAGAAGGUAUGCAAACCAACCACCAGGCAAUCAGACAUCAUCAACAAAAUUUGUGAGAAAAUGAAACUGAUGGUACCUUAUCAAUCAUGACACGUUUGAUAAGUUUAGUGUCAUCUUCAGUCCACCCAUCAACUGCACUUAUUGUCAUAAUAACCAUAUCAGCUCCCAGUGCAGCAGUCUCUGAUCGUUCUACACCUGGUUAAGAGCAGAACAGAAGACAAGCAUCAAGACUAACAACGCUAUUACCAUUAUUCCAUACCCGAAAUCAAAUAUAUAUUGGGAAAUAUGUUCCUGCCCCUGGUGGGCUAUGCCACCCAACGUCAGUUCGUAUUUUGAGAUUCACAUCUUUAUCAUCUUGCUUUAAUAGUUCGCAAUAUGUUUAUGAGAAUAAUAAUACUCACCAAUUUUUUCCACAAUGUCAUCAGUUUCUCUUAUACCAGCCGUGUCUAGAAGGGUAACAGGGAUUCCAUGAAUUGAGACAUUUGCUUCAACUACGUCCCUUGUAGUUCCAGCUAUUUCGGUAACAAUAGCUCUUUCACUCUGCAAGCUAAGCAUUUAAGUUCCAGUAUCAACUAUUAUGGCUGCAACACGAAAUAAAUCAAACUAUCCACUUGGACAUGGGAUUCACAUAAAGUAUACAGAAUUAUAGAUUACAAUUAGUAUUCAUAUAAGAAGAUUAUCUGGCCAUAACGUUCGACGUAUAAACUUUGGGCAUGACGCACAGCAGAGAAGCAGGAUAAAGUUCAGGACACAGUAUGUUGAGCAAAAUCCCCUUAAAUCACAUGGCAUCAGGCAUCUACCGGAGUUUCGGUACGGCUCAUUUAAAGUCACAGCAGAAAGGUAUCAUAAAAGUUCUAGGGGUCUAGGUUUGUGGAGAGAAAGAUGGGCCAGUGCUCUUGAGGGGAGGAUGAAAAGUGGAUGGUAUCCCUUACGUUUUCUUGCUUAAUUAAUCUCGAUGGCUAACAACCAAACAUAUGUGAAAGGAGAAUACACAACACACUUACCUAAUAUUAAUUAAUUCCAUAUCUUAAUCCUAACUAAUCUAUUUUUAGGAGAGUUGCCGUCAUGCUGCCUUGUGUAUCGGUUAAUAACCCCAUACCUUAACUAGCCUUGAACCCGCAACAAUAAGAUUAGCUCAUGUAACUUUGCAUAUAAAAAGAGAAAACAACAUAGAUUAACAAGCAUGGUAACAACAAAAUAGAAUACUAGAAAAGAUAUGCUGGACAAAUAUCCAACAGAAAUAAUGACAGAGAAAUAUCCACGAGUAUACCUUACUCCAUGCAUUCAGGAGGCUUGACUUUCCAACAUUUGGGCGGCCAAUUAUUGCUAUCUGUGCAAAAUUGUAAGAGCAUUUUUCAUUCUUAAAUAUGUUUUUUUUAACAAUUCAGUACAAUGCAUAGAAUAAAGUACCUGUAGACCAGACAGCAACAGCUUAUCAUACUUUGCAGUAUCCAGAGCAUCCUGGACCUCUUGCCUCAUGCUGUUAAUUUUGCUGAGCAGCAUCAUAGGGUCCAAUGGAGGCAUCUCAUCUUCAAAAUCUAAACGAGCCUCAAUUUCAGUGAUCAAUUCUAUGCACCUUGAUCUCAAAGAUUUCACUAGAGUAGAAAAGCCUCCCUACAGUAGAGGACACAUAUAAUUCAGAUUGGAGAACCUACUUAUUAUUAAAAAAACCACAUCUAUAUUGUGCUUCCCAAAGAAACUGGAGCUGAUGAAGUUAAACUUCACAAUGCAAAAGGGUUUCAAGCAGUGUCUGAGUCAGGAAUUUGUUAUCGGUGUGCACAAGGAAAAAAAGCAAGUCUUGCACAUAAAUGCAAAUUUCCCCUCCCCAUUUUAGUGAUCAGAACAACAAUAUUCAAUUUCCUUUUCCCAUUUCACUAAUCACUGACAUACUACUCUAACUGCAAUCUCUAUUUUUCGUCUUUUGGGGGGUCGCAUCUAACAGGAGCAGCCCCUGGUCACUACCCUCCAUAAAGUGUUGUUUCAGCUACUCCUAACCUGGAAACAAUUUGUUCCUGGUAUUUCGAGGCUUAAACACACACAAAAAAAAAACUCCAACACGUCCGCAUGUAUAUCGUUUCUCAGGGCCUACCUAACAGGCUAACAUGAUUUAAUUUUAUCAACAGCAUAGUUUUGUGACAUGCCUGGAUGCCAGCCAAGGCGGAAUCUGCUGCAGCUACGGACUUGGCUGAAAUAAGCCUCGAGACGUUCUCCGCUUGAGCCAAGUCCAAUCUCCCAUUUAGGAAUGCGCGAAGAGUGAAUUCACCUGAAAAGCGAACAUGAACACUGAGCUAGGAGUUUGUUCAAGAAUCAAGAUAAGGCACCUACAUCCCAAGAUAGCUUCACCAUUCAUUCUUCAAACAAAAAGUGUCUGCCUAUCUGACAAAACUGUUUCCCUAUAACUAUAAGUCUAUAACUACAGCUGUAGCUAACGGAACUGUUUCUAUUGAACACCAAUCAUAGCCGUAACUAACUGAACUACAAUAUUUCUUUACAAGCGUAAAUAAUCUAGACCAGUAGGAGGUGAGUGAGCAGAGCAAGCAACUAACCAGGGUCGGCGAGCCUGGCACCGGCCUCCAAGCAGGCCCUCAGCACACGACGCAAGCAAAGGUCGUUCCCAUGGCACUGGAGCUCCACCACAUCCUCUCGGGUGUAGGACCUCGGAGCCAGCAUGGGCACCACCAGCACCUUCAGAUUUGGCAAACAAAAUGGGAAAUCACAGCACUAACCAACCGAAAGCAGAGCAGUAAAGCCGCGGUUACCUCAUCGAUGACGCUCCCAUCUCCGUCCAGCGCGACCCCGUACUCCACGAAGUGGCUUCGGGGCCUCCAGGGCGCCGGCUCCUUCCUGGCCGGCCGGAACACGCGGGCGACGACGGCGACGGCGUCGGCACCGGACAGGCGGACGAUGCCGACGGCCGCGGGGCCCCCGCCGAGGGCGGUGACGAUGGCGGCGAUCGUCCCCGGAGAUCCGCCGCCCCCGUAGCUCGGCGGCGCGCGGCGCGAGGGAGAAGGCGGAGGCGAGCGCUCGUCGCCGGGCAGGACGAGGGAGGCGAGGGCUUUGGCGCGCGUGGUCAGGGGUUUGGGGUUAGGGUUUAGCGGGCGGCGGCGGAGGAGAGGUCGGGGAGGCCGCCGUAGGAGAAAGGGGAGGAGGCGAGAGACGGCACGAGCCAUUUGGAUUGGGAUUUUCUUUUUUCUUUCUUGAGAAGAACCAUUUGGAUUGGGAUAGGCAGCGUGCCGCGAAGGUGUAUCCUCAGCAAAGUCACGCUGCUACAGUGUAAUCAUAGUGUAAAUUAAAGAAGGAAUGUUAAAGACGUUUAGCGGAUUAUUUAAUAUUGAUAUUUACUGUAGAUAUAAAUAAUUUAUAAUUGAUUUUAUUUCACCAUCAAAUUGUUUGUAUGUAAUGAUUAUGAAUGUAAACAAUAAAUCUGUAAUUUGCAUAUUAAUUUAAGUUAUUUUUGCCUUAAUCAUAUGGAUUGCAAGAAGGAAAGUUAGAGGAUUGUAGCUUCUCUAACUUUCCUUCUUAAUGUUAGAGGAUCUAGUUCCGUGUGCGGCUGGUUCACCGUUGCGGGGUGACAGCUGAUUAGAAAUGCCAUGUGCUAUAACCGUUGAGGUAGAAGAAAAGAACAAAAAAAAACCUUUCUUCCAGCUUCCCUGCUGUCGCACGGAUCUCGGCGCAAGGUCAACCCAUGAGACUCUCUGUAGUCAAUUGUUGUAAGUUGGGCGAGCAUUGUAUUGUUGUAGUUGCGGACUCUUGUGGACAGGUUUUUUCACCUUUUAUAGGCAUCUUGUGUGUAUUCUAGAGAGAGAAAACUCUACACCUCAACUAAGAGGGGGGUNNNNNNNNNNNNNNNNNNNNNNNNNNNNNNNNNNNNNNNNNNNNNNNNNNNNNNNNNNNNNNNNNNNNNNNNNNNNNNNNNNNNNNNNNNNNNNNNNNNNNNNNNNNNNNNNNNNNNNNNNNNNNNNNNNNNNNNNNNNNNNNNNNNNNNNNNNNNNNNCUUUCUCACAUGGCAUUUUUAUUAUUUAUUGUAGCAUGGCGGUUAUUAUUAAUAAUAACAUGGCAGUUAUUAUUUUAAGAGGAUGGCAUUUUUGUUAUCAAGAGGAUGGUAAUUUUAUUAUUCAGGCGAUCAUUUUUAUUUUUAAUGGCAUGGCGGUUUUUAUUACUAAGAGCAUGCCUUUUUUUAUAAGUAAUAGGAUGGCAUUUUUAUUUAUUGAGAGGAUGGCAUUUUUCUUAUUAAGAGGAUGGGCAUUUUAUUCUUGAGAGGAUGGCAAUUUUAUUUUUAUUGGCAUGGCAAUUUUAUUACUUAAAACAUGACAUGUGACAAGAUAUAAGAUAUUACUUAUAAAUCACAUGGCAAUCUUGUUUAUUUGGGUUAGUUUGAUAAAUGCCACUCUAAUUCUGGCGAUUCUGACAAAUGCCACUGCAAUUUCCAAACUGUAAAAAAUGCCAUUUUUAGUGCCAUUUUUAAAAGUCUACAGUGAUGUUUUUCAAAGUUUGCAAAAUUUGCAGUGGCAUUUCUCGGAAUCACCAAAAUUCGAGUGGCGAUUUAUCCAAUUAACCUUUUUUAUUUUAACGGCAUGGAAGGUCCUGCAUGGUGCUUUGCCAUGAUAUGGUGUUCUUGUGGGCCGACACAUUAGAACCCUUGUUUAAUGUCCAAUAUGUGUCGCUAGAUCGAAGGAUAUACAACAUUCCGGCGCGCCGAGCCACCCGUCACGAUCGCACGCGCCCACUGGAGCUCUUGUGCAUGAGCCCCUGCACAGGCCGCCGGCGAGAUCCAGACCAUGCCUCCACCAACUCCCCGAAGGAGGCACCUUCCUCGAGCCACGCCCGUCACAAACAGGAGCCGCACCACGUGCCCCGGCCACCACCACGACUCCUGGCCGCCGCUCCUGGCCAAGAUCCGCAUCCGCCAAGAUCCCAAAUCAACGUCCGAAGAAAACAACGGGCCCAUUCCGCGUCUCCAUCGCGCUCUUCCCAUGUGCCGCCUUACCGGAAGCCGCCGAGCCGCCGCGCCGCCCACAAGACUGCACUCCCGCACGAAGGAGGCCCGUCAGGGUGUGCACAACUCGCCCGCCGCUUUGUCGGCCGGGCGCCGCCACCACCGUCGACGGCAGUGCGGCUAGGGGGGCACGGAGUUGCGGGCACUCGGGAGCUCAGGUUUCGCCUCCAGAGCCGCCUGCGUGAGCGGCCCGACAGGUUGAUGAUUUGUCUUGCUUCCGUUCUGGCAGAUACUAGUCUAGAAUGUACAGUAAUCCUUUACAACCAUUUAUGGAGAAGAUACUGAAACACAUGCCCCACCGUAUCGUGUUUCAGCUUUCCGCAUCAAGUGUGAAAUCCCUAGUUAAGAUCUUUUGUUUCAGCUUUCCGCGUAAGGGACAAAUGGACAAAUGAACCAUUUAUUCUUGAGAGGAUGGCAAUUUUAUUUUUAUUGGCAUGGCAAUUUUAUUACUUAAAACAUGACAUGUGACAAGAUAUAAGAUAUUACUUAUAAAUCACAUGGCAAUCUUGUUUAUUUGGGUUAGUUUGAUAAAUGCCACUCUAAUUCUGGCGAUUCUGACAAAUGCCACUGCAAUUUCCAAACUGUAAAAAAUGCCAUUUUUAGUGCCAUUUUUAAAAGUCUACAGUGGUGUUUUUCAAAGUUUGCAAAAUUUGCAGUGGCAUUUCUCGGAAUCACCAAAAUUCGAGUGGCGAUUUAUCCAAUUAACCUUUUUUAUUUUAACGGCAUGGAAGGUCCUGCAUGGUGCUUUGCCAUGAUAUGGUGUUCUUGUGGGCCGACACAUUAGAACCCUUGUUUAAUGUCCAAUAUGUGUCGCUAGACCGAAGGAUAUACAACAUUCCGGCGCGCCGAGCCACCCGUCGCGAUCGCACGCGCCUACUGGAGCUCUUGUGCAUGAGCCCCUGCACAGGCCGCCGGCGAGAUCCAGACCAUGCCUCCACCAACUCCCCGAAGGAGGCACCUUCCUCGAGCCACGCUCGUCACAAACAGGAGCCGCACCACGCGCCCCGGCCACCACCACGACUCCUGGCCGCCGCUCCUGGCCAAGAUCCGCAUCCGCCAAGAUCCCAAAUCAACGUCCGAAGAAAACAACGGGCCCAUUCCGCGUCUCCAUCGCGCUCUUCCCAUGUGCCGCCUCACCGGAAGCCGCCCGCCGCCGCGCCGUCCACAAGACUGCACUCCCGCACGAAGGAGGCCCGUCAGGGUGUGCACAACUCGCCCGCCGCUUUGUCGGCCGGGCGCCGCCACCACCGUCGACGGCAGUGCGGCUAGGGGGGCACGGAGUUGCGGGCACUCGGGAGCUCAGGUUUCGCCUCCAGAGCCGCCUGCGUGAGCGGCCCGACAGGUUGAUGAUUUGUCUUGCUUCCGUUCUGGCAGAUACUAGUCUAGAAUGUACAGUAAUCCUUUACAACCAUUUAUGGAGAAGAUACUGAAACACAUGCCCCACCGUAUUGUGUUUCAGCUUUCCGCAUCAAGUGUGAAAUCCCUAGUUAAGAUCUUUUGUUUCAGCUUUCCGCGUAAGGGACAAAUGGACGUGCUUUCAGCUUUUCCACGACGAGGAAGGUGGUGGCCCUGUGCAGUGUUGGCGUGCUUGCUGUAAUUCGGGUGCGUGGACUGGUGGAGGUACUUGUCGGGAUUGGCCGACUGCGUGGGAGUGGUGGUUGUGCUGCUCAGGGUCGUCCACGGGUCUGUGCGGGCUCUGCGACUGCACAGGGGAAAUUCCUAUUGGCUGUCCCUCCAUCCCCAUUGGCUAUCAAGCAGAUCAUGCGGAUCACCAUCCCAUCCGACGUCUCUCGGCGCUCGAUUUUGCCCAAAUCUUCUCUAUAAAUGCAAAAUUCUUCGCUACUACUGCCUCUUGAUCUGUCGCUCCCGCCGCGCAAGUUCUACUCCUAUGGCCAUCGACUAAGCGCCACCACCACCCAUCCUCCUUUCUCCACCAUGUCGAGGGAUGCUCUGCCGGGAGCAGCACCAGGAUCUUGCCUCGUCGAGUGGCCACGCCGUGUCUUCGACGCCCCGGCCAUACCUGUGGGCGGCUGCUGCUGCCUAGCACUCGUCCACAAUGCUAUGCUUGUUAGUUUUGUUCUCCCUCUCUCAUUUCUGGAUCUAACAUUCUUAAAGAAUAUCUUGGCAUGAUGCCAGUCAAUCUGGUAAGUGUUUACCUUUUUUGUGUAAUUUAUGAUGCAGAUGGUCCUGCUGGACAUGUGGAGGUAGAGAUGCGGGACAUAAGUACCCUUCCACACAAGCACCCUGACAAGGGCGAUGGGCAAGCGUCGUACAUGAUGGGUGUUUGAUUCCGAAGAUCCACACCAGUUCAUCGAAGGAAAGGUACUGAAAAUAUUAUACAUGAUUCCUUUCAGUAGUAAAUUUGAUAGUCUUGACUUGAUUUUCCUAGCAAUAUGUAUGAUCGAGCUGCUAGGGCAUGGAUCCACACUCCUUGCUUGUCUCAUAAGAAAGCGUACAAGAUUCAACCAGAUAAUGAUAAGGAAGCCUACCCAUGAAUCAUGUCAUGUUGCUUGUGAUCACCAAAUUUACGAGACGUCUUACAAAGCAUGUCUACAUAUGUUGGGACCAACUGUUACGUCUCUUCCUAGUGUAAAUUCACUUUGUUGGAUGCUAAGAGUGAUAACCGUAUCUUUUUUUAAUUACGAAAUGAUGUUGCUUUUUCAGAAAUUAAAUAUUGCUAGUGUAUAGAAUAAUACUCCUGCCAUCGCAAACUACAUAAAUAAAUGAUGUACAUUCCAGGGAAGAGUAUAUUUCUUAUAAGAAAUUGACAUUUACAACUAGUUAUACAUCUCACAUAAUGUGAAAAAACACCUACUCAAACAUUUUUUUUGCGGGUGUACUCAAACAUAUUUUUUCCGACUAGUUAAAAUCAAUCCAUAGGCUUUGCAAACGUACACGAGCUCGUAGGUCUUCACUUCAUUAGUUAUAAUUUCGCUACGGUCUUGUAUCAUACUGCAGGCUGCACAACAGUGCGGAAAACAAAUAAAUUUCUUUGGGACAAGGAAAUUGAUGUACACAAAUGUUGCUCUCCAUUGUUCAUCCACUGCUAGAGGAGGUGAGUGACAUUUUGGCCUCAUGGUGUCGUCAUGUCAUGGAGUGCUACAAUAAUUCCUCAAAGUUUGCAUCCCGAAAGCCUAUCUAUUUAGUUAGUUUGAAGAAAAUCCCAUCCUUUUCGGUGUCUCUGUGAUGAUUUUGCUUGCCUAAUGAAAGAAUGUAUAGUUUUCUUUCUGCUUCAAAAUAAGAGUAGGUCAAACCAACUAGCAGGCAUGAUGGUUGUUUCACUCACUCACUCAUGUAUUUAGUGUUGUUAUGGAUGCAUUUCUUAAUCCAUGAGACGUGUUAUGCUGCCGAAAUUUCUAGUCGAAAUUGCCACGACUUGUCGAUUUUUUGUCCUUGUUUGUAAGAAAAUGAAAUCUUGAGGGUGUUGGGUGCAAUAUGUUAUGGUCUUGGGUGCAAGAUUAUGUUAUUUAUGGGGUUGCCAAAGUAAAGUGUUAAGGAACCAUAUUAGAUUAUGUUAUGGUCUUUCUUACAAUACAAGAGUUUCUUGCAUGAGUGAAACAAAACUGAAGAAAAAUAUUAAGGAAUAAUGUUUGAUAAAGUGAUUAAUUCUUCUUCUUGUUCUUUUUCUUCUCUCUCUCUCUCUCUCUCUCUCUCUCUCUCUCUCUCUCUCUCAAAGAUGAGUGCCUAGCCAUCCAUGUAAACAUUCCACAUUUUUGCUCUUGAUUUUGUGACCUAGGAGAGUGAAGUCAUGCUUCUGCAAAAACAUGUGCUUAUUUUCGUGACUUCAUUUUUGAGUAGUAUCCCGCUCCUAUGACUCCAAUUAUUUCAACAUCCCAAUCUAAAAGAACUAUUUCAACAUCCUAGGAUGAUAAUAUUAUUCCUUUUUAGUAGUAUCCAUUGUAUUCCUUUUUAGGUAGGCCUUCAGUACCUUAGGUUAAUUCAUCAUGUAAAGAGAUUCCUCUCUGCUAGUUGGGUAGAAUGGAUAACCAACAUCUUUAAGCAAAGGUACAAUCCCAAAAAAGAUGCAAUGUCUUCUCCUUGGCAUUUUGAUUGCAAAAGAAAUGGUUAUAACAUUCUGUGUGUUUGGAACACCUUUUCUUUCCUUGGAUAGGGCCUAAAAAAUACAAUUUCCUAUUAUUUUGUUAAACUGGGCCCAAACACAUCUCAGACCUAGAGUACAAAUUUGGAAGAUUGUCCAGGUACAACGCAGAUCUGUAGAACAGUGACAUCAGUAAUCCCGACCUAUAAAUCUUUGAUCCCAUCCAGAAUAUGGGUUCAAUUUCAUUGCUCAUUCUUUGGAUAGCUACUGGGCGUUCAGGUCGUUCCAUGUUACUGCCCUGCUCAAAAAUCAAAAUUGUCGGAAUGGCCGAGGACCAGCAUGAUUCUGAAAGACUAAUCAUUUUCCAAUGCAGAAUUUGCUGAAUAUGCUGCUCAGAACUUUAUUAGCAUUUUUAUUUUAAUUGGCAUGGCAAUUUUAUUACUUAAAACAUGGCAUUUUUAUUUGGGUUAGUUUGAUAAAUGCCACUCUAAUUCUGGCGAUUCUGAGAAAUGCCACUGCAACUUCCAAACUUUAAAAAAUGCCAUUUUUAGUGCUAUUUUUUAAAGUCUACAAUGGUGUUUUUUAAAGUUUGCAAAAUUUGCAGUGACAUUUUUCAAAGUUUGAAAAUUGCAGUGGCAUUUCUCGGAAUCGUCAAAAUUCGAGUGGCAAUUUAUCCAAUUAACCCUUUUUAUUUUAACGCAUGGAAGGUCCUGCAUGGUGCUUUGCCAUGCUAUGGUGUUCUUGUGGGCCGACACAUUAGAACCCUUGUCUAAUUCUUGUGGGCGGGGGCGGCUCAGGCUCGCCUAGGUGGGGCGGGCGCGACGCGGCCGGGCGGCGGCAGGGGUGAGGGGUCGGGGCGGCUCGGGCAGGGAGAGAGAGGGAAUGGACAGAUCGGGCGCGGGCGCAACCCCUUAUCUGCUAGGUCACAGCUCUUUGCCGUCGGCCAGCAGACGACAAAGAGCGUACCUAGUGGGGUGGGGCCGGGGGGAAACGGGCGAACUAACGGCUAUCUUCUUUGUCGUCUGCUGGCGGACGGCAAAGAAGAUGGCCGUUAGUUCACCCCGGUACGCCCGCCACCCACCCUCUUUGCCGUCAGCUAGCGGACGACAAAGAUAUGCUGAUGGCAAAGCCAUCCUUUGCCGUCCGCUGUCUCUUUGCCGUCGGUUUUUCGAUGGCUGAUGGCAAAGCCUUUCUUUGCUGUCAGCUAGCGGAUGGCAAAGAAGUGGCAGACGACAAGGAAGUGGAUUCCAAUAGUGUGAGAUGGAUUGUGAUACAUAAAUUUUUUUUCGCGAAUACGCAAGCUGCGUAUCUUUGUAUUGAUAGAAGGAGAAAGUAGCAUGAGAUUACAACGCUUACAGGGCCAUGUACGCAGGAGGCAUGGUGCACGAGCGUCAGAGCAAA